rnacentral:lncRNA from 1 species
CCUUAUUUACUCAAAUUGAACCUCUACAAUCAAAGCAUCUGAUGACAGAACACCUUAAACAUUUGAACUAGGAUUCACAUUAGGAUAUUCUUGUCCGUCUGUCAAAUCCUACACUAAGAAUCAGUACCAUGACAGAAGCUCAUAGGAAUACUCAUUGCUAGUUCCAAAAAAACAGUUCAAACCCAACCUCAUAGAAGACAUGCUAUUCAUCUCAAUUAUCCCCUAUUGCAAGUAUCCGAUUAAUCUCCAUAGAACAAAAUUCCAAAAAAAAUUUAACACGCCAACAUACUAACUAGAAUGUCUGUCCAGAUUUACAAAUCAGAUUUCAAACCAAUCACGACUAGAUAAAUGAACAUAUUCAAAGAAACAUAGAUAACACAAAACUACAAAUAUGAAAUAUCAUUAAUUGAACACUAAUGGUCUUGAAUUGCAUCUCAGUUACAAAUCUUCACAUCUUGUACUUCAUAGGCUAAAGAGAUCCAAGAAAUACCUGGAAUUCAAAACAAAACCGAAAAAUGAGGGAUCAGCAGCAAACAGUAGCAGCCAGCCCAGAUUCAAUCAGUCAAAUAGUGAAAUCAGCUCAAGAAAUCCAAUGUAACAGUAAACCGACAGCAUAAACUCAAAUCAAAACUUUUCAAAACCAAAGUUCAAUCCAUGUCAACGCUAGGUGAAUCAGAAAUUACUUCAGCAAAUUGAAAACCUCAAAAAUCACAGAAGAAAGUGAAUGGAACAGUAAUUUUUAUGAAGUUUUCAGGCGUUUUAGGUUUUUCUCAAUUUUCUAUCUCUUUUUUUCUGACUUGAGCUUGAAGAAAUGGAUACCUUUAUAGGCAAGGCACUAGGGGAGCCUAGAGAAAUCAGAUUUUUCAUUUUGACCCUUUUGGAAUUUUGGUUUUUGCUUAGAAAUCCUUAGGUUAAAAUUCAGAAGUUCAUUUGAGUCCAUACCCCCACCUUCUAGGCAACUUCCUAUUCAGUUACAAGAAAUUCUUUCACCUAGACUCCCUGAACUAACCCCUAAACAACUGUUAAUUACCUUCAAAAACCAAACACCGAUAUGGGUCAAAGUUGCCCCAGGGUCGAAUUAACCCAAAACCUAGCCCAAUACAUGAAUCUGUAUACUAACAUCCCAACCUAAAACUUAAAAUGAAUAAAUGAGAAGGAAAGCUGAUUCAUCAAGCCCUUUAAUAAAAUUAACGACUGAAUUUACAUAAUUUCGGCCAAAACAAAACUAAAACAAAACAAACUCAAAUAGAUAUUAAUCCCAAUCAUGCAAAUGAACAACUAGAACUACUAAUUUUAAUCAAACUGAAAUUGAUUCUAACAAACAGAAAUACAAAAAUCAAAGAAAAAGAAAAUAAGAAAUAGAUGCGAAGAACGGAAUGGAGAAAGGAAUGAUACUGGUCCUAGCCGGAACAAAUCGUCAAAGGCGACGAGCUUGGCAAGGCAUCCUUGGUCUGGUCAGGAACUAACAAAUCUUGAAAUGUACCAAAACUAUCGUUAGCCGAUUAUUCCGAGCAAGCACAAUCGUUUAACCGAAGUCCUGAGUCAAAUCAAGUCUUGAGAGCAUAGGAAUCGGAACAUUACUUUUCUUCUGAUUUUCAGGUUCAAAGUUGAGGUGAAGAUGUGAGGAUUUUGGGGAUAUUGACAACGACUUAAUGUUUGAGGGAGUAUGGGGAGUGGACGAUGAGAAUUUGGUGUGAUUUGGAGUUGGACCGCCGGUGACAAUGGCGGAUUAGGUUUUUGAGAUGGGGGAGACGAAGUGCAGGGGCGUUUGGGUGAACUGACCGGUCUCUGAGGUGUUUUGGACACUCUUAAGCG